AACGAACGCUGGCGGCAUGCCUAACACAUGCAAGUCGAACGGGAAGCCACCUUCGGGUGGUGGAGAGUGGCGCACGGGUGAGUAACGCGUGGGAAUCUGCCCUGGAGUGGGGGACAACCGCUGGAAACGGCGGCUAAUACCGCAUACGCCCUUAGGGGGAAAGCUUUAGCGCUCCAGGAUGAGCCCGCGUCGGAUUAGCUUGUUGGUGAGGUAACGGCUCACCAAGGCUUCGAUCCGUAGCUGGUCUGAGAGGAUGAUCAGCCACACUGGGACUGAGACACGGCCCAGACUCCUACGGGAGGCAGCAGUGGGGAAUAUUGGACAAUGGGGGCAACCCUGAUCCAGCAAUGCCGCGUGUGUGAAGAAGGCCUUCGGGUUGUAAAGCACUUUCACUCGCGAAGAUGAUGACGGUAGCGAGAGAAGAAGCCCCGGCUAACUCCGUG
rnacentral:rRNA from 1 species